rnacentral:rRNA from 1 species
AACGUAGGAGACAAGCGUUAUCCGGAGUUACUGGGCGUAAAGGGCGUGUAGGCGGAUAGCUAAGCUGGGUGUGAAAGCCUCUGGCUCAACCGGGGGAGGCCACCCAGGACUGGCAGUCUGGAGGGCGGGAGAGGGAUGUGGAAUUCCGGGUGUAGUGGUGAAAUGCGUAGAGAUCCGGAGGAACACCAGCGGCGAAGGCGGCAUCCUAGCCCGCACCUGACGCUGAGACGCGACAGCACGGGGAGCGAACGGG